rnacentral:lncRNA from 1 species
ACAUCUAGUCAUGUGGGGGCGGGGCCAAUGUGUGGGCCUUUCCCACGCACUAACUCUCAUGGGUAUUCCCUAUGUCACCAAGCCUGUGAGGCUCACCGAUACUGUCGGUGUGCUGUUAUGCACGCCCUUGUGGAAUCCAGAAGAAAAAGAAGCAAAAGAGAAAAGAAGGCUGUGUGUCUGCACGGCCACCGUGGCCGUGCCAGGACCCACCUCUUGCCGUCAUACAAAAUUUCGCCCGAAGGCCACCGCUCCCGGCGCUGCCUGCCCUCGUGUAGCUGGCAGCUAGUCCGGGGGCUGUUGCUGAGACACGCGGCUGGGCGGCUUAUAUGAAGGGUUUUGCGGGGGGCGCUUGGCCGCCAGCCGCUUGCGAAGCUCCUUCAGGUACCGCUGCACUGCCUGCUGCUUUUGUAAGUGAUAGUGAGGUAGGCGCCUGCUGCGUGCAGGCUGCCGUGGGCCACGGCGUGUCACAGUGACCGCCGCCACCACCGCUCCCGUUGCUGCUGCCUUCAUU